rnacentral:rRNA from 1 species
CCUACGUGAGGCUGCAGUGAGGAAUAUUGGUCAAUGGCCGGAAGGCUUAACCAGCCAUGCCGCGUGAAGGUCAGUGCUCUAUGGGCGUUAAACUUCUUUUGUGCGGGAGCAAUAAUGGUCACGUGUGGCCAGACGAGAGUACCGUACGAAUAAGCACCGGCUAACUCCGUGCCAGCAGCCGCGGUAAUACGGGGGAUGCAAGCGUUAUCCGGAUUUAUUGGGUUUAAAGGGUGCGUAGGCUGUGAGGUAAGUCAGCGGUGAAAUGCCCACGUUCAACGGGGUGAAGUGCCUUUGAUACUGCCUUGCUGGAAUGCGGAUGCCGUGGGAGGAAUGUGUGGUGUAGCGGUGAAAUGCAUAGAUAUCACACAGAACACCGAUUGCGAAGGCAUCUCACGAAUCCGCGAUUGACGCUGAUGCACGAAAGCGUGGGUAUCAAACAGGAUUAGAUACCCCAGUAGUC